rnacentral:lncRNA from 1 species
AAAAAAUGAAGGGUAAAUUUUGGGGUAUUACAGCUGCCCCUAUUCAAUCAACUGGAGACCCGGAAAGAAGAUGACAACUGCUUUCAUGCUUUCGAGGUAUCAAGGGAUUGAAUACAAUAAAAGCCCAAAAAUUUGCACUGAAGUGAAGUGAAGUCACAAUGCCUGUCAGAAUCGGCAAAGAGGUGGUCUUGAAAGAAGAAUCCGUCUGGUACGGUGAGAGUCAGUCUGAAUAUCGAAAAAGAAUUAUAAACUGGAUACCAAAAUAAAUGGUAACACAGAAAUAACCAUGGCCUGAAUGCCGCUCAGCAGUCUGAAUACUGGAAAGGAUUUCGAUCUGAACAUCGGAAAAUUGGCCUGAAUGCCACAAGUCGCAUCGACCUAAACGUCGGAAACUUCUUCGAUCUGAACAUCGGAAAGACUUGGCCUGAAUGCCACAAGUCGCAUCGACCUGAACGUC